rnacentral:lncRNA from 1 species
GCUGUUAACCUUACUCUUGUAGGACUUCUAUUGAUACCACCUCUCUCAUGAUCGAGAAAACAAAAUAUUGAGGUAACUCAAAAAAGUUUAUCACAAUAACAUUCUAACUCCCUAUUUAAUGGUGCUUGUGUAGGAAAUGGAGAAAAAACAACUUGAACAGUCGCUCGUAGACUCCAUUAUAGCCUUGGCCCUAGAACAGUUGAAGGCGUCAGGUUUUUGGAUGAAUUCUCACAACCUCGACAAAGUAUUAAAUUCUAUUGUUUUAUUGUUUUAAUUUUGAGGGUGUUUUUUCUAAUUGGAUGAUGAUGAUUUGGAAGAACAUCUCUCUCUCUCUCUCUCUCUCUCUCUCUCUCUCUCUCAAAUAGAUGAACCCUUUGAUUACAUCAGGUAAAAUUUCAUUAUCCUGUAUAAACCCUUUGAUUUUCCCAACAAUGACACCCCACCCCAUCAUGUUUUUGGUAUGUUAAUAAGCUCUUAAUUUUUAAAGAUUUUAGUGCUUUAAACUUUUGUGUUGAGGAAACAUUUAAGUUUGAUGUUGUGAUUUUUAGGUUUUUGUCGAUUCUCAGAAAGAGGUGUUUGGAUGUCUGGAACCUAGCUAUGAAGGUAUAGAGGAAAAGGGAUUUGAGGGGGAAUAGAACAUUAUGCAGAAAAGUUAGUUGGUCAACAUGCUCUAUGUGAAGUUAUAUUUUGGGUAAAUUACAUCAAUCGUCCCUUGUGUACAUGCCAGAAAGGGUGUUUAGUCCCUAUUUUCGAAAAUUAACUCGGACUGUCCUUCAUGUCGUUAAAAGGUGCACGAUUCAUCCCUCGUUAGUUUAAAUUUGCACUUUUCAUCCCUUAUGAUACAUCAAAAGCCUAUAAUACCCUUUUCUUUUUCUUUUUCAUUUAUUUUGAACAUUUUUUUUUAUAUUUUUAAUUAUUAAAAAUUAUUUAAAGUAUUUUUCUAUUUUGUUAAAUAACACCUGACCACCACCGGUAAUCUACACCACCACCGGAAAAAGAAGCACCACUGCCACCCCUCACUUCAUCCCACCCACUCCUUCGUUCAAAUUUCAAAUGUUUCGCUGAAAAUAACCACAAACCACCACCUCAUUCACCGAACCAACUACAUAUACUCAAACCACCAUCAAAACAACCAUUUACUAUUAACAUCACCACAACCUUUAUUGAAAAACUCACCUACAAAUCUAGAAAGAAUAAUCAGGGAAAAUCAGGAAGGAAGAAUCAUGGCAUGGAAAUGUUUAAUUUGAAAUCAGUAAAGGAUUUAGAGUUCUUAAGUUGAAAGCAGGUUUGAUUCAAUAAACCUCCAAAUAUGAUUUGAUACCAGGGAUAUGGCAAAUCUGCAAUUCAUCUAAUUCAUUGUUCAUCAAUUUCUUACCCCUUAAUCUCCAAUUCGUUGUCUUCUUCACUUUACAAGAAGAAAGAGACGCAUCUAGUGAUCGAUUGGAGGGAGAAGAAUAAGGUUGUAUCUGUGUUGAGACUUGUUGUGGGUAUAAACAUGCAAAAUCAGAACCGGAGGUUGUGAUGGUGGUUGCAAUUUGUAGAGAAAGACAGGUUGCAUUAUUCUCCUUCUUAUUCCCUAAUUAAAACCCUUGAACAUCCUUUUUCGGAAAUCUUCGGAUGGUACAUCACAUUAGCCUCGAUUGAAUCGAUUUCUUACCCUAACCUCAUCAUCUUAGAUCUGUAAACCCUUAGUUUUCUCCGAUGAGCUUCAAGAAACCCCUCCGAUUUUGCACCAUUUUUCAGUUAUAGGCCCGAUUUCUAGGUGUGUGGUCGCCAGCGUAGUUGCAGAAGAGAUGAGAAUGUGACUUAGCGGAUCUGUGAUGGUGGUGCUUUGUCGGAAAUCAUCGGUCUCCUUUUUCACCUGUUCACCACCAUCGGAAGUUGCCGACGGAGUUUCAGAUCAAGGUGAUGAUGGUGUUUUGGUUCAAUGAUUUAGGUUUGUUAUGAAGGAGGUAAGAACAGGGGAGAAGGGAAGUGCCGUACAGAGGGGUUGAAAUAUUUGGUUUAUUUAUUUAUUUUUUAAUUUAAAAUUGAUAAAGAAAUAAAAAAUGAAAAAAAAU